UACGUAGGGGGCAAGCGUUGUCCGGAAUCAUUGGGCGUAAAGAGCGCGUAGGCGGCCCUGUAAGUCCGCUGUGAAAGUCAAGGGCUCAACCCUUGAAUGCCGGUGGAUACUGCAGGGCUAGAGUCCGGAAGAGGAGAGUGGAAUUCCUGGUGUAGCGGUGAAAUGCGCAGAUAUCAGGAAGAAUAUCCGUGGCGAAGGCGGCUCUCUGGUACGGCACUGACGCUGAGACGCGAAAGCGUGGGGAGCGAACAGG
rnacentral:rRNA from 1 species